AUAUGAACUCUAAGAGAAAUUUUGUAAUAAACGAAGUGAAUUGAAAUAUCUUAGUAACUUUAGGAAAAUAAAUCAAAAGAGAUUCUAUGAAUAGCGUGAGCGAAAGUAGAAAAGCCUAACAAGUAAAACGGUUUAAAACUGUUUAAAUAUUAUGGGGAACCUUCCUCAAAGGCUAAAUAUGAUACAUAAGCGAUAGUGAAAAGUACCAUGAGGGAAAUAAAAUAAAAAUAGUAGUUUUAUAAGCAGUUCGAAAUAAAGAACGUACCUUUUGCAUAAUGGGUCACCAAGUUAACGUUAGAUGCGAGAUAAUACGUAGUUAAACCGAACGUUAAAAUAACGAUAUAGUGUCUAAAGUUAGACCCGAAGCCUGGUGAUUUUACCAUAGUCAGGAUUAUAAAAGUCCGAACCGGUGAUUGUAGCAAAAAUCUCGGAAGAACUGUGGUAGGUGUAGUGAAAGACAACACUGACUAGGAUAGCUGGUUUUCUGCGAAACCUAUAAUAGUAGGCAGUUUAAGUAAAUAUCUUAGCAGGUACAGAAUUUAAUCUCAGACAAGACAUUUUUAAUGUUUUAUUUUGUACAAAUUGGGGGAUCAUGAAGAUUUUAUCAGUGAGUAUGUAGACUCGGAAUGGCAAAGAUAUAUCUUAAACUAUCAGACAUAGAAUGAUAAGGUUGUAUGUCGAAAGGGAAACAGCCCAGAACAAGAGUUAAGGUUCCUAAAUUAUUUGUUAAGUGAAAAUAAGAAGGUUUUUAUUUAAGUCGAC
rnacentral:rRNA from 1 species